GAUGAACGCUAGCUACAGGCUUAACACAUGCAAGUCGAGGGGCAGCAUGGUCUUAGCUUGCUAAGGCCGAUGGCGACCGGCGCACGGGUGAGUAACACGUAUCCAACCUGCCGUCUACUCUUGGACAGCCUUCUGAAAGGAAGAUUAAUACAAGAUGGCAUCAUGAGUCCGCAUGUUCACAUGAUUAAAGGUAUUCCGGUAGACGAUGGGGAUGCGUUCCAUUAGAUAGUAGGCGGGGUAACGGCCCACCUAGUCUUCGAUGGAUAGGGGUUCUGAGAGGAAGGUCCCCCACAUUGGAACUGAGACACGGUCCAAACUCCUACGGGAGGCAGCAGUGAGGAAUAUUGGUCAAUGGGCGAGAGCCUGAACCAGCCAAGUAGCGUGAAGGAUGACUGCCCUAUGGGUUGUAAACUUCUUUUAUAAAGGAAUAAAGUCGGGUAUGUAUACCCGUUUGCAUGUACUUUAUGAAUAAGGAUCGGCUAACUCCGUGCCAGCAGCCGCGGUAAUACGGAGGAUCCGAGCGUUAUCCGGAUUUAUUGGGUUUAAAGGGAGCGUAGAUGGAUGUUUAAGUCAGUUGUGAAAGUUUGCGGCUCAACCGUAAAAUUGCAGUUGAUACUGGAUAUCUUGAGUGCAGUUGAGGCAGGCGGAAUUCGUGGUGUAGCGGUGAAAUGCUUAGAUAUCACGAAGAACUCCGAUUGCGAAGGCAGCCUGCUAAGCUGCAACUGACAUUGAGGCUCGAAAGUGUGGGUAUCAAACA
rnacentral:rRNA from 1 species